GAGUUUGAUCAUGGCUCAGAUUGAACGCUGGCGGCAUGCUUUACACAUGCAAGUCGAACGGUAACAGGGAGCUUGCUCCGCUGACGAGUGGCGAACGGGUGAGUAAUGCGUCGGAACGUGCCGAGUAGUGGGGGAUAACGCAUCGAAAGGUGUGCUAAUACCGCAUACGAACUGAGGUUGAAAGUGGGGGACCUUCGGGCCUCACGCUAUUCGAGCGGCCGACGUCUGAUUAGCUAGUAGGUGAGGUAAAGGCUCACCUAGGCGACGAUCAGUAGCGGGUCUGAGAGGAUGAUCCGCCACACUGGGACUGAGACACGGCCCAGACUCCUACGGGAGGCAGCAGUGGGGAAUUUUGGACAAUGGGCGCAAGCCUGAUCCAGCCAUGCCGCGUGUCUGAAGAAGGCCUUCGGGU
rnacentral:rRNA from 1 species